rnacentral:lncRNA from 1 species
GUAUUGUCUCCAGAUUAAAGGUACGACAUUUGGAGGCCCCAGCGAGAAACGUCACCGGGAGAAACGUCACCGGGCGAGAGCCGGGCCCGCUGUGUGCUCCCCCGGAAGGACAGCCAGCUUGUAGGGGGGAGUGCCACCUGAAAAAAAAAUUUCCAGGUCCCCAAAGGGUGACCGUCUUCCGGAGGACAGCGGAUCGACUACCAUGUGGGUGCCCACAAAAAUUCCACCUCUGAGUCCUCAACUGCUGACCCCGGGGUCAGUACCUACAGUCUCCCCAACAGGUACAAGAUAUCAUCCUGCCACUUGUUCGAGGAACCCAUCCCAAUCCAAUUCCUGAACAGACAGGGCCCUGCCAUUCAUUCCCGCCAGGUGACCUGUUGUUUGUUAAAAAGUUCCAGAGAGAAGGACUCCCUCCUGCUUGGAAGAGACCUCACACCGUCAUCACGAUGCCAACGGCUCUGAAGGUGGAUGGCAUUCCUGCGUGGAUUCAUCACUCCCGCAUCAAAAAGGCCAACGGAGCCCAACUAGAAACAUGGGUCCCCAGGGCUGGGUCAGGCCCCUUAAAACUGCACCUAAGUUGGGUGAAGCCAUUAGAUUAAUUCUUUUUCUUAAUUUUGUAAAACAAUGCAUAGCUUCUGUCAAACUUAUGUAUCUUAAGACUCAAUAUAACCCCCUUGUUAUAACUGAGGAAUCAAUGAUUUGAUUCCCCAAAAACACAAGUGGGGAAUGUAGUGUCCAACCUGGUUUUUACUAACCCUGUUUUUAGACUCUCCCUUUCCUUUAAUCACUCAGCCUUGUUUCCACCUGAAUUGACUCUCCCUUAGCUAAGAGCGCCAGAUGGACUCCAUCUUGGCUCUUUCACUGGCAGCCGCUUCCUCAAGGACUUAACUUGUGCAAGCUGACUCCCAGCACAUCCAAGAAUGCAAUUAACUGAUAAGAUACUGUGGCAAGCUAUAUCCGCAGUUCCCAGGAAUUCGUCCAAUUGAUUACACCCAAAAGCCCCGCGUCUAUCACCUUGUAAUAAUCUUAAAGCCCCUGCACCUGGAACUAUUAACGUUCCUGUAACCAUUUAUCCUUUUAACUUUUUUGCCUACUUUAUUUCUGUAAAAUUGUUUUAACUAGACCCCCCCUCUCCUUUCUAAACCAAAGUAUAAAAGCAAAUCUAGCCCCUUCUUCAGGCCGAGAGAAUUUCGAGCGUUAGCCGUCUCUUGGCCACCAGCUAAAUAAACGGAU